GAUGAACGCUGGCGGCGUGCCUAACACAUGCAAGUCGAACGGAGUCCAGCCUUUAAGACCUUCGGGUCAAAGAGGGGAAGACUGAGUGGCGGACGGGUGAGUAACACGUGGGCAACCUGGCUCAUAGAGGGGGAUAACAGAGAGAAAUUUCUGCUAAUACCGCAUAAGCACACACUGCCGCAUGGCAGAGGGUGAAAAGAGAAUCGCUAUGAGAUGGACCCGCGUCUGAUUAGCCAGUUGGCAGGGUAAGAGCCUACCAAAGCGACGAUCAGUAGCCGAUCUGAGAGGAUGAACGGCCACAGUGGGACUGAGACACGGCCCAAACUCCUACGGGAAGCAGCAGUGGGGGAUAUUGCACAAUGGGGGGAACCCUGAUGCAGCGACGCCGCGUGAGUGAAGAAGUAUUUCGGUAUGUAAAGCUCUAUCAGCAGGGAAGAUAAUGACAGUACCUGAAUAAGAAGCCCCGGCUAACUACGUG
rnacentral:rRNA from 1 species